rnacentral:rRNA from 1 species
ACCUGUGGACAUAGCCCUUUGGACUGAGAUCUCAUCCGAUCUCAGAAGCCACCCAGAGUUGGCCUGGUCAGUACUUCAAAGAAAGACCUCCAACAAAAAUCUAGUUGGUGUGGGAC